GACGAACGCUGGCGGCGUGCCUAAUACAUGCAAGUCGAGCGCAUGAAGCCGUCCGAACCCUUCGGGGGGACGACGGUGGAAUGAGCGGCGGACGGGUGAGUAACACGUAAAGAACCUGCCCAUAGGUCUGGGAUAACCACGAGAAAUCGGGGCUAAUACCGGAUGUGUCAUCGGACCGCAUGGUCCGCUGAUGAAAGGCGCUCCGGCGUCGCCCAUGGAUGGCUUUGCGGUGCAUUAGCUAGUUGGUGGGGUAACGGCCCACCAAGGCGACGAUGCAUAGCCGACCUGAGAGGGGGAUCGGCCACACUGGGACUGAGACACGGCCCAGACUCCUACGGGAGGCAGCAGUAGGGAAUCUUCCACAAUGGACGAAAGUCUGAUGGAGCAACGCCGCGUGAACGAUGAAGGCUUUCGGGUCGUAAAGUUCUGUUGUAAGGGAAGAACAAGUGCCGCAGGCAAUGGCGGCACCUUGACGGUACCUUGCGAGAAAGCCACGGCUAACUACGUGCCAGCCGCCGCCGUAAGAC
rnacentral:rRNA from 1 species